rnacentral:misc_RNA from 1 species
GUGAAUCAUCAAAUUUUUGAACGCAAAUUGCACUCUCCGGUUUUCCGGGAGAGUAUGCCUGUUUGAGGGUCUGUUUAAACAAUAAUCGAGGCUGCUGCUGUGGUGGCUCUUCGGAAUUUGGCCGUCUUCUACCUUUCGGGUUUUUAAGCGCCCGAAAAUUUUUCUUACGAUUUCUCCGAACGUGUCUAAGAAUUUUUCUUGUACGUUCGAGACAUCGAACUCAUAUUAGAAGCGU